rnacentral:rRNA from 1 species
AGUGAACGCUGGCGGUAGGCCUAACACAUGCAAGUCGAACGGCAGCACAGUAAGAGCUUGCUCUUACGGGUGGCGAGUGGCGGACGGGUGAGGAAUACAUCGGAAUCUACUUUUUCGUGGGGGAUAACGUAGGGAAACUUACGCUAAUACCGCAUACGACCUACGGGUGAAAGCAGGGGAUCUUCGGACCUUGCGCGAUUGCAUGAGCCGAUGUGGGAUUAGCUAGUUGGCGGGGUAAAGGCCCACCAAGGCGAGGAUCCGUAGCUGGUCUGAGUGGAUGAUCAGCCACACUGGAACUGAGACACGGUCAAGACUCCUACGGGAGGCAGCAGUGGGGAAUAUUGGACAAUGGGCGCAAGCCUGAUCCAGCCAUACCGCGUGGGUGAAGAAGGCCUUCGGGUUGUAAAGCCCUUUUGUUGGGAAAGAAAAGCAGCAGGUUAAUACCCCGCUGUUCUGACGGUACCCAAAGAAUAAGCACCGGCUAACUUCGUG